GCUAAUACCGGAUGAUAUCGCGAGAUCAAAGAUUUAUCGCCUGAGGAUGAGCCCGCGUUGGAUUAGGUAGUUGGUGGGGUAAAGGCCUACCAAGCCGACGAUCCAUAGCUGGUCUGAGAGGAUGAUCAGCCACACUGGGACUGAGACACGGCCCAGACUCCUACGGGAGGCAGCAGUGGGGAAUAUUGGACAAUGGGCGCAAGCCUGAUCCAGCAAUGCCGCGUGAGUGAUGAAGGCCCUAGGGUUGUAAAGCUCUUUUACCCG
rnacentral:rRNA from 1 species